UACGUAGGGGGCUAGCGUUGUUCGGAAUUACUGGGCGUAAAGCGCGCGUAGGCGGCUUUGUAAGUUAGAGGUGAAAGCCCGGAGCUCAACUCCGGAACUGCCUUUAAGACUGCAUCGCUAGAAUUGUGGAGAGGUGAGUGGAAUUCCGAGUGUAGAGGUGAAAUUCGUAGAUAUUCGGAAGAACACCAGUGGCGAAGGCGACUCACUGGACACAUAUUGACGCUGAGGUGCGAAAGCGUGGGGAGCAAACAGG
rnacentral:rRNA from 1 species